UACGUAGGGUGCAAGCGUUAAUCGGAAUUACUGGGCGUAAAGCGUGCGCAGGCGGUUAUGUAAGACAGAUGUGAAAUGCCCGGGCUUAACCUGGGAACUGCAUUUGUGACUGCAUGGCUAGAGUUUGGCAGAGGGGGGUAGAAUUCCACGUGUAGCAGUGAAAUGCGUAGAUAUGUGGAGGAACACCGAUGGCGAAGGCAGCCCCCUGGGUCAAGACUGACGCUCAUGCACGAAAGCGUGGGGAGCAAACAGGAUUAGAGUACCGU
rnacentral:rRNA from 1 species